GCUGCAGAUGCGCAGACGUGGCAUCGGCGUCUUCCAGCAGUGGCCGGAGACACAAAGAGCCAUUUGUGUAAGAAGCCUCCCUCUAAAUAAAGGAUCAGCAAGAAUAAUGAGAACAGAUUUGGUGAGGCGGGAGGAGAGUACGCUAAAAUGGUGGUUCU